rnacentral:rRNA from 1 species
UACGUAGGGUGCAAGCGUUGUCCGGAAUUAUUGGGCGUAAAGGGCUCGUAGGCGGUCCAUCGCGUCGGGAGUGAAAAGCUGGGGCUUAACCCCAGUCCUGCUUCCGAUACGGGUGGACUAGAGGUAGGCAGGGGAGAACGGAAUUCCUGGUGUAGCGGUGAAAUGCGCAGAUAUCAGGAGGAACACCAAUGGCGAAGGCAGCUCGCUGGGACGGUACUGACGCUGAGACGCGAAAGCGUGGGGAGCAAACAGG